rnacentral:rRNA from 1 species
UUCUUAUAAAUAUUUUAUUAUAAGUAUAACCUGCCCAGUGAAAAUUUUUUAACGGCUAUGUUAAUAUAUUAAAGUAGCGCAAUAAAUUAUCAUCUAAUUAAUGGAUACAAUGARGGUUAAUUGAAUAAAAUUCUGUCUUUAAAAAAUAAAAUAAAAUUAAUAAUAUAGUGAAAAAUCUUAAUUACUCUUAAAAGACGAUAAGACCCUAUAGAACUUAUUUAGAACUUUAAAUUUACUGGGGAAGUAAAAAUAAAAAAAAAAUUAUUUUUAAAUAGAAAAAUUAUAAUAUUUAAUUAUAACCAUAAUUUAAUGAUUAAAAAGUUACCUUAGGGAUAMCAGCAUUGAAAAUAUAAAAAGCCCUUAUUUUAAUAUUUUUUAUGACCUCGAUGUUGAAUUAAGAUAAAUUAAAAAAGUAGAAAUUUUAUUUAGUUAAGUCUGUUCGACUUUUAAAAUCUU